rnacentral:rRNA from 1 species
UGAGUAACCUGCCCUUAACUCUGGGAUAAGCCUGGGAAACUGGGUCUAAUACCGGAUAUGACUCCUCAUCGCAUGGUGGGGGGUGGAAAGCUUUUUGUGGUUUUGGAUGGACUCGCGGCCUAUCAGCUUGUUGGUGAGGUAAUGGCUCACCAAGGCGACGACGGGUAGCCGGCCUGAGAGGGUGACCGGCCACAUUGGGACUGAGACACGGCCCAGACUCCUACGGGAGGCAG